GACCGCGAACUCCAUCCUCCGCCCAGCGGAUCCCAUCCGCGCCGGCUCUCUACGACGCCUCUAGCCUCUCGCCGUGGGAAACUGCUGCGGUGCGCCGUCAUCGUCGCAGGGCGGCAGGAAGAAUAUGCGGAGGCAGAAGGCGAACCCCUUCACCGUCGCGUACAACCGGGGUGGGCUCAUGGGGCAGUUCCUGUUUGGGUAGGGGGCUCAGGUGGCGGUUGCUGCUCGGGGAGGUGGGCUCCUGUCGCCGCCGGUGCUGGAGGAAGGGGGCGAGCAGGAGGGAGGAUUGAAGAGAAGACCUGGCGGCGAAUUUUGCCGGCAAAUGGAUACGGCUCGGCUUCCAUUGAACUUGGUCAACAAACCAGGCUCGUGCCUAUAUGACAGGUGGGCGUGAGAUUACCUUUUAACCUCCUGCGUUGGUACCUCGCCUUGAUCGCUGGCCAUUCACGUGAUGGUACAUGGAGGUACCGUCCAUCUGCAGCCGUUAGAUUUGAAGACAUGGACGGUUGCAAAAAUAUCAAGCACCGGAGAACUUCCCAAAAAACAAAGUGUGGUGGCACGAUCUACUGCUGAAGCAGAGUUUAGGUCCACGGCUUCGGGAUUGUGUGAAUUGAUGUGGCUGACGAUAUUAUUAUCUGAA